CCUACGGGUGGCUGCAGUGGGGGAUAUUGGACAAUGGGGGGAACCCUGAUCCAGCGACGCCGCGUGAGUGAAGAAGUAUUUCGGUAUGUAAAGCUCUGUCAGCAGGGAAGAAAGCAAUGACGGUACCUGACCAAGAAGCCUCGGCUAACUACGUGCCAGCAGCCGCGGUAAUACGUAGGGGGCAAGCGUUAUCCGGAAUUACUGGGUGUAAAGGGAGCGUAGACGGGUGGGUAAGGCAGGAGUGAAAGGCGGGGGCUCAACCGCCGGACUGCAAUGGAAACUGGAUGGCUGGAGUGCAGGAGAGGUAGGCGGAAUUCCUGGUGUAGCGGUGAAAUGCGUAGAUAUUAGGAGGAACACCAGUGGCGAAGGCGGCUUACUGGACUGUAACUGACGUUGAGGCUCGAAAGCGUGGGGAGCAAACAGGAUUAGAUACCCGUGUAGUC
rnacentral:rRNA from 1 species